rnacentral:rRNA from 1 species
GACGAACGCUGGCGGCGUGCUUAACACAUGCAAGUCGAACGGAAAGGCCCCUUUGGGGGUACUCGAGUGGCGAACGGGUGCGUAACACGUGAGUAACCUGCCCUUGCCUUCGGGAUAACUUCAGGAAACUGGGGCUAAUACCGGAUAGGAAUCCUUGCUGCAUGGUGGGGGUUGGAAAGCUUCGGCGGUUUUGGAUGGACUCGCGGCUUAUCAGCUUGUUGCUGGGGUAGUGGCUUACCAAGGCGUUGACGGGUAGCCGGCCUGAGUGGGCGACCGGCCACACUGGGACUGAGAGACGGCACAGACUCCGACGGGAGGCAGCAGUGGGGAAUAUUGCACGAUGGGCGGAAGCCUGAUGCAGCAACGCCGCGGGCGGGAUGACGGCCUUCGGGUUGAAAACCGCUUGCAGCAGGGGCGAAGCUUGUGGUGACGGUACCUGCAGAAGAAGCACCGGCUAACUACGUG